GGGCCCAUAGCUCAGUGGUAGAGCGCCGGCCUUUUAAGCCGGGCGUCCUGGGUUCGAUCCCCAGUGGGCCCACCA
rnacentral:tRNA from 1 species